rnacentral:tRNA from 1 species
AGGUAGAAUGGCUGAGUGGAAAGCGGCAGGCUGUAGUCCUGCUAAUAUGGGUUUAAUUCCUGUUUCUAU